CUUCAGCGGAUCUCUAUUGAGAAAAUCCAUCAAACUGACAGAGCUAUGCAUAUGUGCACUGGGCAUGAGCUUUAAAAGCCAUUUUAUUUUGUCUUCUUCCCCCUCAAAUAGAGGUUGCUUUGAAAUUUCAUGGCAACAAUAUGAGUCCAGUAUGUAUGAUUUUUCCAAAAUUUGAAAUUUUUUUCAGUUUUUAAGUAUCUGUGUUGUAUAUGCAGACUGG
rnacentral:misc_RNA from 1 species